GGUUCCUACGGGGCGCAGCAGUGGGGAAUAUUGCACAAUGGGGGAAACCCUGAUGCAGCGACGCCGCGUGCGGGAUGGAGGCAUUCGGGUUGUAAACCGCUUUUGUUCAAGGGCAAGGCACGGUCUUUGGCCGUGUUGAGUGGAUUGUUCGAAUAAGCACCGGCUAACUACGUGCCAGCAGCCGCGGUAAUACGUAGGGUGCAAGCGUUAUCCGGAUUUAUUGGGCGUAAAGGGCUCGUAGGCGGUUCGGCGCGUCCGGUGCGAAAGUCCAUCGCUUAACGGUGGAUCCGCGCCGGGGACGGGCG
rnacentral:rRNA from 1 species